rnacentral:rRNA from 1 species
GUGCGGGAUGCUUUACAUGCAGUCGACGGCAGCACGGGUGCUUGCACCUGGUGGCGAGUGGCGAACGGGUGAGUAAUGCGUCGGAACGUACCGAGUAAUGGGGGAUAACGCAGCGAAAGUUGUGCUAAUACCGCAUACGCCCUGAGGGGGAAAGUGGGGGAUCGCAAGACCUCACGUUAUUCGAGCGGCCGACGUCUGAUUAGCUAGUUGGUGAGGUAAUGGCUCACCAAGGCGACGAUCAGUAGCGGGUCUGAGAGGAUGAUCCGCCACACUGGGACUGAGACACGGCCCAGACUCCUACGGGAGGCAGCAGUGGGGAAUUUUGGACAAUGGGGGCAACCCUGAUCCAGCCAUUCCGCGUGAGUGAAGAAGGCCUUCGGGUUGUAAAGCUCUUUCAGCAGGAACGAAACGGUGCGCUCUAACAUAGCGUGCUAAUGACGGUACCUGCAGAAGAAGCACCGGCUAACUACGUGCCAGCAGCCGCGGUAAUACGUAGGGUGCGAGCGUUAAUCGGAAUUACUGGGCGUAAAGCGUGCGCAGGCGGAUUGUUAAGCAAGACGUGAAAUCCCCGGGCUUAACCUGGGAAUGGCGUUUUGAACUGGCAGUCUAGAGUGUGUCAGAGGGGGGUGGAAUUCCACGUGUAGCAGUGAAAUGCGUAGAGAUGUGGAGGAACACCAAUGGCGAAGGCAGCCCCCUGGGAUAACACUGACGCUCAUGUACGAAAGCGUGGGUAGCAAACAGGAUUAGAUACCCUGGUAGUCCACGCCCUAAACGAUGUCAACUGGUUGUUGGGGGAGUGAAAUCCCUUAGUAACGAAGCUAACGCGUGAAGUUGACCGCCUGGGGAGUACGGUCGCAAGAUUAAAACUCAAAGGAAUUGACGG